rnacentral:rRNA from 1 species
UCCAGACUCCUACGGGAGGCAGCAGUGGGGGAUAUUGCACAAUGGGGGGAACCCUGAUGCAGCGACGCCGCGUGGGUGAAGGAGCGUUUCGGCGCGUAAAGCCCUAUCGGCAGGGAAGAAGGAGGACGGUACCUGACUAAGAAGCCCCGGCUAACUACGUGCCAGCAGCCGCGGUAAUACGUAGGGGGCAAGCGUUAUCCGGAUUUACUGGGUGUAAAGGGGGCGCAGACGGCAGCGCAAGCCAGGAGUGAAAGCCCGGGGCCCAACCCCGGGACUGCUCUUGGAACUGCGCGGCUGGAGUGCAGGAGGGGCAGGCGGAAUUCCUGGUGUAGCGGUGAAAUGCGUAGAUAUCAGGAGGAACACCGGUGGCGAAGGCGGCCUGCUGGACUGUGACUGACGUUGAGGCCCGAAGGCGUGGGGAGCAAACAGGAUUAGAUACCCGGGUA